UACGUAGGGUGCGAACGUUAUUCGGAAUCACUGGGCUUAAAGCGCGUGUAGGCGGAUCGCCGCGUCGGCUGCUGAAAUCCCCCGGCUCAACCGGGGAACGGGCACCGAUACGGGCGGUCUCGAGGGGGGUAGGGGGGUCUGGAACUUCCGGUGGAGCGGUGAAAUGCGUUGAGAUCGGAAGGAACGCCCGUGGCGAAAGCGAGGCCCUGGACCCUUACUGACGCUGAGACGCGAAAGCCAGGGGAGCGAACGGG
rnacentral:rRNA from 1 species